UAUAUUAAAGUUGUUGCAGUUAAAAAGCUCGUAGUUGGAUUUCUGGUGGGAGCGAUCGGUCCGGCACUCAUGUGUGGGUACUUGUAUCGUCUCCGGCCAUCCUUGGGUGGAGUCUGUUUGGCAUUAAGUUGUCGAGCAGGGGAUGCCCAUCGUUUACUGUGAAAAAAUUAGAGUGUUCAAAGCAGGCUUAUGCCGUUGAAUAUAUUAGCAUGGAAUAAUAAGAUAGGACCUCGGUACUAUUUUGUUGGUUUGCGCACCGAGGUAAUGAUUAACAGGGACAGUUGGGGGUAUUUGUAUUUCGUUGUCAGAGGUGAAAUUCUUGGAUUUACGGAAGACAAACUACUGCGAAAGCAUUUACCAAGGAUGUUUUCAUUAAUCAAGAACGAAAGUAUGGGGAUCGAAGAU
rnacentral:rRNA from 1 species